rnacentral:rRNA from 1 species
AGGACGAACGCUGGCGGCGUGCUUAACACAUGCAAGUCGAACGGAAAGGCCCUUCGGGGUACUCGAGUGGCGAACGGGUGAGUAACACGUGGGUGAUCUGCCCCGCACUUUGGGAUAAGCCUGGGAAACUGGGUCUAAUACCGAAUAGGACCAUGGCAUGCAUGUGCUGUGGUGGAAAGCUUUUGCGGUGUGGGAUGGGCCCGCGGCCUAUCAGCUUGUUGGUGGGGUUAAGGCCUACCAAGGCGACGACGGGUAGCCGGCCUGAGAGGGUGUCCGGCCACACUGGGACUGAGAUACGGCCCAGACUCCUACGGGAGGCAGCAGUGGGGAAUAUUGCACAAUGGGCGCAAGCCUGAUGCAGCGACGCCGCGUGGGGGAUGACGGCCUUCGGUUGUAACCCUUUCAGUAGGGACGAAGCGCAAGUGACGGUACCUACAGAAGAAGCACCGGCCAACUACGUGCCAGCAGCCGC